GCGUGGUGCUAAUAACGCCAAGGUCGCGGGUUCGAUCCCCGUACGGGCCACUUUCCUUUUCAUCAUUAAGACCCCAAUUGGUGUUGUUGACAAUUGCAUCGUGAUGAGGAACAUGAUUAUUUUCAGCAAAGACUAAAGUGUCAGUGAUCCAAUACAAUCCUGCAGUGAGAGAAAACAAGUAAAACAACACCGUG